rnacentral:rRNA from 1 species
UACGUAGGGUGCGAGCGUUGUCCGGAAUUAUUGGGCGUAAAGAGCUCGUAGGCGGCUUGUCGCGUCGACCGUGAAAACUUGGGGCUCAACCCCAAGCCUGCGGUCGAUACGGGCAGGCUAGAGUUCGGUAGGGGAGACUGGAAUUCCUGGUGUAGCGGUGAAAUGCGCAGAUAUCAGGAGGAACACCGAUGGCGAAGGCAGGUCUCUGGGCCGAUACUGACGCUGAGGAGCGAAAGCGUGGGGAGCGAACAGG